CCCGCUGAACUUAAGCAUAUCAAUAAGCGGAGGAAAAGGAACUAACAAGGAUUCCCCUAGUAACUGCGAGUGAAGCGGGAAAAGCUCAAAUUUAAAAUCUGGCAGUCUCUGGCUGUCCGAGUUGUAAUCUAGAGAAGCAUUAUCCGCGCUGGACCGUGUACAAGUCUCCUGGAAUGGAGCGUCAUAGAGGGUGAGAAUCCCGUCUUUGACACGGACUGCCAGGGCUUUGUGAUGUGCUCUCAAAGAGUCGAGUUGUUUGGGAAUGCAGCUCAAAAUGGGUGGUAAAUUCCAUCUAAAGCUAAAUAUUGGCGAGAGACCGAUAGCGAACAAGUACCGUGAGGGAAAGAUGAAAAGCACUUUGGAAAGAGAGUAAAACAGUACGUGAAAUUGUUGAAAGGGAAACGCUUGAAGUCAGUCGUGUCUGCGGGGACUCAGCUUGGCUUUUGCCUAGUGUACUUUCCUGUUGACAGGCCAACAUCAAUUUUGACUGGCAGACAAAGGCCAGAGAAAUGUGGCAGCUUUUGCUGUGUUAUAGUCUCUGGUUGUAUGUGUCAGUUGGGAUUGAGGAAUCCGGUAUGCAAGUACCUGGGAUGUUGGCGUAAUGGCUUUAAACGACCCGUCUUGAAACACGG
rnacentral:rRNA from 1 species